UACGGGGGGGAGCAAGCGUUGUUCGGAUUUACUGGGCGUAAAGGGGCGCGUAGGCGGUCGUGACAAGUCACUUGUGAAAUCUCCGGGCUUAACUCGGAACGGUCAAGUGAUACUGUCGGACUAGAGUACAGAAGGGGCAACUGGAAUUCUCGGUGUAGCGGUGAAAUGCGUAGAUAUCAGGAGGAACACCAAUUGCGAAGGCAGCUCGCUGGGACGUUACUGACGCUGAGACGCGAAAGCGUGGGGAGCAACAGG
rnacentral:rRNA from 1 species